rnacentral:rRNA from 1 species
AUUGAACGCUGGCGGAAUGCUUUACACAUGCAAGUCGGACGGCAGCGCGGACUUCGGUCUGGCGGCGAGUGGCGAACGGGUGAGUAAUGUGUCGGAACGUGCCAAGUAAUGGGGGAUAACGCAGCGAAAGCUGUGCUAAUACCGCAUACGCUCUGAGGAGGAAAGCGGGGGACCUUCGGGCCUCGCGUUAUUUGAGCGGCCGACAUCUGAUUAGCUAGUUGGCGGGGUAAAGGCCCACCAAGGCGACGAUCAGUAGCGGGUCUGAGAGGAUGAUCCGCCACACUGGGACUGAGACACGGCCCAGACUCCUACGGGAGGCAGCAGUGGGGAAUUUUGGACAAUGGGGGCAACCCUGAUCCAGCCAUUCCGCGUGUCUGAAGAAGGCCUUCGGGUUGUAAAGGACUUUUGUCCGGGAGCAAAGCCUGCUGGUUAUAACCGGCGGGGAUGAGAGUACCGGAAGAAUAAGCACCGGCUAACUACGUGCCAGCAGCCGCGGUUAUACGUAAGGUGCGAGCGUUAAUCGGGAUUACUGGGGCGUAAGCGUGCGCAAGCGGGAUUGCAAGUCUGAUGUGGAAAGCCCGGGGCUUACCUGUGGACGGCAUUGUGAACUGCCAAACUAGAAUACGUCAGAAGGGGGGUAAAUUCCCCCUGUAGCAGUGAAAUGCGUAAAGAUGUGGAAGAAACCCAAUGCGGAAGCAGCCCCCCGGGGAGAUACUGACCCUCUUGGACCAAAAGGUGGGGGAGCAAAACGGAUUUAUAUACCUCGGGUAGUCCCCGCCCCUACACAAGUCACAAUAACUGUUGGGGGGGUUGAAUCCUUGGGGAGCGAAACUAACCCGUGUAAAUUUCACCCCGGGGGGAAAUGCCCCAAG